rnacentral:pre_miRNA from 1 species
CAUGUACUCCCUCCGUCCCAAAAUUCUUCUCUUAGAUUUGUCUAGAUACAAAUGUAUCUAAUACUAAAACGUGACUUGAUACAUUCGUAUUUAGACAAAUCUAAGACAAGAAUUUUGGGACGGAGGGAGUACCUA